rnacentral:tRNA from 1 species
GCCGGCGUGGUGGAACUGGCAGACGCGGCGGACUCAAAAUCCGCUGUCAGCGAUGACAUGGGGGUUCGAGUCCCUUCGCCGGCACCA